GACAUAGGGGGCAAGCGUUGUUCGGAAUUACUGGGCGUAAAGGGAGCGUAGGCGGGAGAUUAAGUUAAGAGUGAAAGCCUUGGGCUCAACCCAAGAAAUGCUCUUAAUACUGGUUUUCUAGAGUGUGGGAGAGGUAAGUGGAAUUCCUAGUGUAGCGGUGAAAUGCGUAGAUAUUAGGAGGAACACCAGUGGCGAAGGCGGCCUGCUGGACGACAACUGACGCUGAGGCGCGAAAGCGUGGGGAGCAAACAGG
rnacentral:rRNA from 1 species